GCGUAAGGUGUAUUUUAAACAUUUCAAUCGUAAUGUUUAUUUUUAAAUUUCUGUGAUUACUAUGAUUUAGGUUAAUAGAUAUAGAAAGAUUUUAGAAUUAAAUAUAAUUUAAAUCAUUCGCUAUUAUUAGUAGCUGUGAUUUUGAACUUUAUAUGUAUUGCAAAACAAUGUGUUUGAAAUUUGUUUACGGUUACUAGGAACCACAGUGUUUUGUAUAUCAAUACAGAACAAAUCACGUAUAAAUAGAAGGAUGGACAUACAUUUAUUCAUUUGAUAAAAACGUUUUAAUCAUAGUUCCGGCAAAUUCUUCACAUAAAGGUAAUUUAAUUCAUUUAAAGCCAAGGAUAUAAUCAAUUCAUUAAUACCAGGACAAAGUUGUUGCAGAAAUGAUAGUGACGACAAAAGAGAAGACAGCACUUUGUGCAUGUGGGACAGUCUUAAUUAUCCUAUGCACCAUACAUGUGAUUCCUUCAUUACGAAAUAAUAACGAAUCACAAUUAAAAGAAAAAUGUCGCGAAACGGACUUACGAAUGGGAGAUGAUGUUUCACAGAUUCCACGUCAUAUUUAUUAAAUUUAUUUUGACAUUAACAAAAACGGUCAUACACAUCUACAGAAAUACCAAUUUGCUCAACAGACCUGGUUUAAAUUAUGUCCUGACUUUAAAUAUACUCUCUGGAACCAGUCUAUGGUUGAUGAUUUAAUCAAAGACCACCAAGCUAUAUUAAAAAGUGGCGAUAAUUUCGAUUUGUUCGCAAUUAACUUCUUUGCCGCAACCACCAAUCACCCGCUUCUAGCACAUGUCAUAGCUGGUUUGCCUCAUGCAAAAUGAAAGUACUUGCUUCCAUAUUUGAAUAAUAUGCAUACUACUGGGACAGCUUAUUUCAAUAUACGUUUCAAAAGUUUCGAAAACAAAUGUGGAAUAUCAGCCUUACCUUAUAAUAAUGAAUAUAUUGUACAUCACCGAGCGUCAUCAUGGCACAGCUGGGACGGUAAAAUUAUAUAUAUUGUAUGGUUCAAGCGCGGAGUCCUAAUGAAAACAAUGUCUUUACUCAUUUUUGCUAUUAUUGUGUACAUACUUUAUAGGAACAGGAAUUCAAGUAAAAUAAUCUUGAUUAGACAGCAAUAAUACAGGAAAAAAAAUAAAGAAUAAACCAAAUUUAUUGACAGAUAGGGAUAUUGAUUGAGUGAAUACUAUGAACAUAAGAUAACUGCACUCUUAUCGUUGUUCUUAAUCUUGAUAGUUGUGGGUGGUUUUCAACGACUUAAACUUUUAAGGAAAAACGUAGAGGGUCGUUGGCGUCGACAAAACAGUACAUACAUGUACCAGCUGAUGUUUUGCCAAUAACUUUUAACGAAAUUUCGAGAGAGUAAUUAUGUGAAUUACAUGCAUCAAUGGCAGCCCAUGUAUACAAACAAUGACAAAUGUGGCUAUUUAUUGCUUAAAAAUGCAAAUAACGAAAGCAAACAUUUUGAACAAUUAAAGAGUACCAUUGUUCAUUAAUUUGAACAAUUAUCUGCUUUUGGAAUUUUCUUUAGCAACAACAUUAUCACUUUUAACAGAAAAGAUUUCAAACCCCUAAAUCUUAAGCAAUCAAAUAACAAAUACUGCCAUAUAAUACAGUCAUUCUAUAGCCAAAUUAUGACCAAACCUCAAACUAUUUGCAACAGAAUGUACUUCAAGUUUUUCCAGCUGAUUUUUGUGUUUUGUUGAACAUAAAAAAAAUCGAGAAAGUUUGGAAGAAGGGAAAUUGUUAAUAUUGGGUGAAAACCUUGGAUUUUGAGGAGAAUUGAAAUUUCCCAUGACUAAAAAACGAAAAUAGCAACGUCCUUAAUUUUUAAUCAAGUCAAUAGAUCUUAUUACAACAAUAAAUUUAUAAAAAUAUGAUGAACUUCAAAGUGCGGGAAAUUGGAAUAUAUUUUGAUAUUGAGGGAGAUCAAAUAAUGAUAAAUUCGUCAAAAUAAUUGGUGAGAGAUUUUUUUUUACGAAAAUUCACUGAAAAUAGUAAAUUCCUGGUAAUUUUCUAUAUUAACUUAAAAUGUAAUUUUAUCAUCAAGUUCAACAUAUAUAACAAAAACGAUGAUACGACAGAAAUGAAGAGUGUCUAUUGUUUGUCGGUGUGUGCCUUUCUUGCCCCGGAUAGGUCUUUGUCCAUGGGUUUCACUUCCUCUUGUCUAUCGCUUCGGUUAUCUGCCCUUCUUAUAUGACUACUUAAAUAUCAUUCCUCGUUUAUACCAGAGAAAUAUGAAUACAUUGUAUUAUAUGUCUCUGUUUAUAGGUGUAAUAAAACCAUUGUUUUUCGCCUAUUAGUCUUUGUUAAAUUUUCACUUUUUAAAAAACUGUGCAGAAUUUAUCUUUGAUUCAAAUAAAGAAAUACUUUAACGUUUUAUCCUGUCCAGUACUACAGUAAAAGUUUCACGUAACAUUUCAUUGCAUAUAAGAUAAUAACCAUCACUGGAAGUUAACCAAUCAAAUCUUCACCUCUUUUUUUUUCCUGUGUACAAGCAUUAGUAACCAUGUAACCUCAAGUUUUCAAAUUAUUCUAUAGAAACACCAAAUAAAAAAAACAAUGGUGCUUUGAAACACCCAAGAUAUAUGUUUAUGACUCAGAAAUUUGUUACUGCAAUGAAAUGUAGGAUUAAUUUCCUGCAACUAUCAAAUUCAAGGGAAUAUUUUUUUCCGACCCUUUUUCGUAUGCAACCGGAUGUGACGUACAAUGAUUUGGUGGUAAUACACCUAUACCGAUGAAAGAUAUUUUAAUACACCACAUAAAAAGUCCAAAUAGUCAACCAACUUGCAAUAAUGAUCGAAUAACCUUUAAAAUGUUCAUUAAUUUUGUUUUCUUAGGUCUUUUUUAUCCCUUACUUUGACUUAUUUCUAGGUUUUACCAUAAAUAGAUCUCGAAGUAGUAGAACCAGACAAUUAUAUUUCCUUGACUUCUUAUAAAGUUAUUAAAAGUGUAUUUGUGCCUUACGGUGACCUAUAGUCGUUAACUUCUACGUCAUUUUGUCUCUGAUGGAGAGUUAUCUCAUUGGCAAUCAUACCACAUCUUUUUA